CGACUCUCGGCAACGGAUAUCUCGGCUCUCGCAUCGAUGAAGAACGUAGCGAACUGCGAUACUUGGUGUGAAUUGCAGAAUCCCGUGAACCAUCGAGUCUUUGAACGCAAGUUGCGCCCGAAACCUUUGGUCGAGGGCACGUUUGCCUGGGUGUCACAC
rnacentral:rRNA from 10 species